rnacentral:rRNA from 1 species
UAGNCAAGCGNAAUGGCCGGUGUAGGGGUUAAAUCNGUUAAGAUCGGCAGGAACACCAAAUUGAAGGCAGCUUGNUGGGACGGUUCUGACGUNGAGGGACAAAAGCGUGGGGAGCAAAGGGGAUUAGAUACCCCAGUAGUCCACGCCGUAAACNCUGNAUGUUAGGCAUUGGGAGUCAUCGACCCUCUCAGUNCCGGUUUAGAUAACUCGUUAAACAUCCCGCCUGGGGAGUACGAGCGCAAGCUUAAAACUCAAAGGAAUAGACGGGGACCCGCACAAUCGGUGGAGCGCGUGGUUUAAUUCCGAUAAUGAGCGANAAACCUCNCCAAGGCUUGACAUCCUGUAUGCAGGCCCUAGAGAUAGGGUUCCCUGCGAGGGUGCAGAACAGGCGUCUGCAUGGUUGCCGUCAGCUCGUGUCGUGAGAUGUUCCGUUAAGUCGGGAAACGAGCGAAACCCCUGCCCAUAAGUUUCAAGUGUCUUAGGGGACUGCCCGNUAUAAGCGGGAGGAAGGAGGGGACGACGUCAAAUCAGCAUGGCCCUUACGUCUUGGGCGACACACGUGCUACAAUGGGAAGUACAAAGGGACAGCCAAGCCGCAAGGUGGAGCAAAUCCUUUAAAACUUAUUCUCAGUGCGGAUUGGGGUCUGAAACUCGACCCCAUGAAGUUGGAAUCGCGUAGUAAUCGUGGANCAGCACGUCGCGG